rnacentral:rRNA from 1 species
UACGAAGGGGGCUAGCGUUGCUCGGAAUCACUGGGCGUAAAGGGUGCGUAGGCGGGUCUUUAAGUCAGGGGUGAAAUCCUGGAGCUCAACUCCAGAACUGCCUUUGAUACUGAGGAUCUUGAGUUCGGGAGAGGUGAGUGGAACUGCGAGUGUAGAGGUGAAAUUCGUAGAUAUUCGCAAGAACACCAGUGGCGAAGGCGGCUCACUGGCCCGAUACUGACGCUGAGGUGCGAAAGCGUGGGGAGCCAAA